rnacentral:rRNA from 1 species
GACGAACGCUGGCGGCGUGCUUAACACAUGCCAGUCGAACGGAAAGGCCCUGCUUUUGUGGGGUGCUCGAGUGGCGAACGGGUGGGUAACACGUGAGUAACCUGCCCUUGACUUUGGGAUAACUUCAGGAAACUGGGGCUAAUACCGGAUAGGAGCUCCUGCUGCAUGGUGGGGGUUGGAAAGUUUCGGCGGUUGGGGAUGGACUCGCGGCUUAUCAGCUUGUUGGUGGGGUAGUGGCUUACCAAGGCUUUGACGGGUAGCCGGCCUGAGAGGGUGACCGGCCACAUUGGGACUGAGAUACGGCCCAGACUCCUACGGGAGGCAGCAGUGGGGAAUAUUGCACAAUGGGCGGAAGCCUGAUGCAGCAACGCCGCGUGCGGGAUGACGGCCUUCGGGUUGUAAACCGCCUUCGCCUGUGACGAAGCGUGAGUGACGGUAAUGGGUAAAGAAGCACCGGCUAACUACGUG